GACGAACGCUGGCGGCGUGCCUAAUACAUGCAAGUUGAGCGCUGAAGGUUGGUACUUGUUCCGACUGGAUGAGCAGCGAACGGGUGAGUAACGCGUGGGGAAUCUGCCUUUGAGCGGGGGACAACAUUUGGAAACGAAUGCUAAUACCGCAUAAAAACUUUAAACACAAGUUUUAAGUUUGAAAGAUGCAAUUGCAUCACUCAAAGAUGAUCCCGCGUUGUAUUAGCUAGUUGGUGAGGUAAAGGCUCACCAAGGCGAUGAUACAUAGCCGACCUGAGAGGGUGAUCGGCCACAUUGGGACUGAGACACGGCCCAAACUCCUACGGGAGGCAGCAGUAGGGAAUCUUCGGCAAUGGACGAAAGUCUGACCGAGCAACGCCGCGUGAGUGAAGAAGGUUUUCGGAUCGUAAAACUCUGUUGGUAGAGAAGAACGUUGGUGAGAGUGGAAAGCUCAUCAAGUGACGGUAACUACCCAGAAAGGGACGGCUAACUACGUG
rnacentral:rRNA from 1 species